rnacentral:rRNA from 1 species
UACGAAGGGGGCGAGCGUUGUUCGGAAUUACUGGGCGUAAAGGGCGCGUAGGCGGCCUUCUAAGUCGAACGUGAAAUCCCCGGGCUCAACCCGGGAACUGCGUCCGAUACUGGGAGGCUUGAAUCCGGGAGAGGGCUGUGGAAUUCCAGGUGUAGCGGUGAAAUGCGUAGAUAUCUGGAGGAACACCGGUGGCGAAGGCGGCAUCCUGGACCGGUAUUGACGCUGAGGCGCGAAAGCCAGGGGAGCAAACGGG